rnacentral:lncRNA from 1 species
GGGCGAUGAAAAAAUCUUUGGCGAAUGUUGUGGCAUCUGGCGCUGACACGACCAACUCUCUCUGUCUGUCCCCAACAGUUUAUUUAUUUCGCAAGAAUUCCGUGGAGGAAACAUUUUUUUCCAUGUUUGAAGUCUUGCUUGGUGAUGGAAUGAGUCAUUUUCUGAAGCAAUGAGAUGGAAGGAACCUUCAUAGCAUCCAACAAACAAGGAUUUCUAUGAGGCAUUGUGUUUUCCACAUUGCAGACCUCUGUAUCACCAACUUAAAUGAGCCUCCACCUGUCCACCAUGAUCUCCCCCAAACUUAAUCCACACCUCUUCAGGAAUUGCCCCAUCGUGAGUUGUGAGAAAUCCAUUCCUGUGGAAAGAUGAUGGAACAUGAACAUAUGGUCUGUGACUCUGCUAUGGACCUAGUGAAUCACUGUUGACUGUCCAUGGUUCAAGUGAGGAUUGGCAAACCUGGUCAUUUCUUGAUUACCUACAGAAUGCAAUUGCAACAUAUGCAAAAUCUUAUGCAGGAAUGGGGCUAUAGCAGUGAUGGGACACUACCUUUGACUGUGAAGAUCAGACGAUGCAAUUCCCGUUGGUCAGCCCCCUCCCCACCCCAAGGAGCCAUGCACUGCCAGAGAUCUUGAGCCAGGUCUUCAGUGGUUAUCCAUUGAUAAGAAGAACGGAGAUAAUAAAGACAGUGAGGUAUCUUGUUGAUUUCGACGUGACCAUCUUCCUAACGCUUCUUCCAAACAAUGAACUGGAGGCUCUUUCCACGAAUGAAUGUUUAGCUGCUUCAAGUGUGAUUCCAGCUUUUUCAAGAGCUUCUUGUUGUUCUACUUCUACUGGCCUUUAUUGUAGUUAACAUGUCCUGUGAAUGUUUUUAGGAGCCCAGUUUUGCUACAAACACAGUAAACCUCAAGUUCACAUAUAGUUAAAAAACAGGGUCUACUUGUAACAUUAUCUAGGAAAAAGUUCUACAAAUUGGACAUGGUGAAACUUUUCAUUCAUUAUGUUUUCAGUAUUUACUGAGGUACUCACUACAAAAG